rnacentral:rRNA from 1 species
GUGUCAGCAGCCGCGGUAAUACGGAGGGUGCGAGCGUUGUUCGGAAUUAUUGGGCGUAAAGCGCGUGCAGGCGGUCGAGUAAGUCAGAUGUGAAAGCCUUUCGCUUAACGGAAGAAGUGCAUUUGAAACUGCUCGGCUGGAGUACGGGAGAGGAGAGUGGAAUUCCCGGUGUAGAGGUGAAAUUCGUAGAUAUCGGGAGGAACACCAGUGGCGAAGGCGGCUCUCUGGUCCGAUACUGACGCUGAGACGCGAAAGCGUGGGGAGCAAACAGGAUUAGAUACCCUGGUAGUCCACGCCGUAAACGAUGGGCACUAGGUGUAGGAGGUAUUGACCCCUUCUGUGCCGGAGCUAACGCAUUAAGUGCCCCGCCUGGGGAGUACGGCCGCAAGGCUAAAACUUAAAUGAAUUGACGGGG